AUUGAACGCUGGCGGCAUGCCUUACACAUGCAAGUCGAACGGCAGCACAGGACUCGGGCAACUGAGCCCUGGUGGCGAGUGGCGAACGGGUGAGUAAUGCAUCGGAACGUGCCCAGUAGUGGGGGAUAACUAGUCGAAAGAUUAGCUAAUACCGCAUACGACCUAUGGGUGAAAGCGGGGAUUCGCAAGAACCUCGCGCUAUCGGAGCGGCCGAUGUCNGAUUAGCUAGUUGGCGGGGUAAAAGCCCACCAAGGCUUCGAUCAGUAGCUGGUCUGAGAGGACGACCAGCC
rnacentral:rRNA from 1 species